rnacentral:rRNA from 1 species
GAUGAACGCUGACAGAAUGCUUAACACAUCAGCAAUUGAUUGGUGGCGGACGGGUGAGUAACGCGUAAAGAACUUGCCUCACAGCUGGGGACAACAUUUGGAAACGAAUGCUACUACCUAAUACUGUGAGAGAGCUUUGCGUCCCAUUAGCUAGUUGGUGAGGUAACGGCUCACCAAGGCGAGGAUGGGUAGCCGGCCUGAGAGGGUGAUCGGCCACAAGGGGACUGAGACACGGCCAUUAGUCAUACGGGAGGCAGGAGUGGGGAAUAUUGGACAAUGGACCAAAGUCUGAUCAAGCACUUCUGUGUGCACGAUGAAGUUUUCGGAAUGUAAAGGGCGUUCAGUUGAGAAGCGGUACCAACAGAAGAAGUGACGGCUAAAUACGUGCCAGCAGCCGCGGUAAUAC